GCCUCCCUCCCUCCCUCCGUUUCCUCACCUUUCCAUUCAGGCUGAAUAGUACCCUGAAAAUAGCACAAGGGAAGGACAGCAUGCUAGAUGCACAUGUGGAAAACUGCAUGUCGUGCUUUAGCUCACACAAGUGUUGGUUGGAUAUAGGUCACGUAGCGGCACAAGUUACUCUGCAUGAUGAUUUCGCCAUGGAUCCUCUUCAUCAAAUUGUUUAUAAGAACGAAUCUUCGGAGGUGCACUUCAGGAUCGUUCCUCAAAAAUCGAGAUGGUUUUAGGGCUACAGCUGCUGAGUGGUGGGUGAAAAUCCUCUUCUUCCACAUACUUCCUCUUAAAGUAUGUGAUCUUGGGUGUUACAGCAUUUGAAAUCCUCCUGUAAUGGGACCCUGCCAGGGGUGCCCGGCUCCCGGGUCUCCCUGCAGGGGACCCUUUCCGGCCCCGGGGCCUCGGACCUCUCUAGCUGUCAGCCUCCCAUGGUGCUUGGUACCCAGCAAGUUCAGCAGCUCCUUCCGAGACAAUGGGCUGGCAGAACCUAUUCAGGGUCAAAACCAGAGGCAUCUCUGACAGCCUCAGAUCCGGUCAGCUGGCGGCGGCCGCCACAGCUGGGCUCUGGGCUCCCGGCUCCGCUCUGGGCGCGCUGUCCCGCGGGGCCGAGGUCCGGUCCCCCGCGCGGCAGACGGCGCGCGAGGAGCCCGCCAGUCGCGUUUGCCAUCUCCCCGUGGGCUUUGAGGGGCGGCUCCAUGGGACGCCCUGGGCCCAGGAACCUGACGCGCCGUGCCUCUGGCGCCCCAGCCCGCCCGCCGCUCCGUGGGGCGCCCUCAGUUCCAUCUUCUUACUACCUCACAGGAUGAAAUUUCAACACAUGAACUUUGGGUGCCACCCACUGAAGUCAUACCCAAGCUGUGGCAAAUGGUUUUUCUCUUUGUUAUGUCAAACAUCAAUGAAUUUAUAGAUCAAGUUAGGCAGAUUGAGACUUUUUUUCUGUCCUCAUAUUAAUCUGCUUAGGCUUUUAUAACAAAAUGUCACAGAAACAAUAAAAAGACAUUUCUCACAGUUUUGCAUGUUAUAAGUCCAGGAUCUGUGUGCUUGCAUGGUAGAUCUCAUCUAGGGCUGCUUCUCUUGGUGGCUGUUGCUCAGUACAUGUUCACGGAGCUUUUUUGUGUGUACUCAGUUUUAAAAAGGGGAGAAGGGACAGCAAGAAAGAGGAGAGAAAGUUCUUAGGUGUCUCUCUACUUAUAUGGACAUUAUUCCUAGCCAGUUUAUCUCAGAAACCGGGAUGCGUGAUUGCAGUGGGUAGACAAAUAAAGUUACCCAUCAUUUUAAAAGCUGUGCUACACUGUCAUGGUGCAAAGUCUUUGGUACACAUCGAUGGAUUCUGCUUGCUAGUAUUUUACUUGCUUCAGUAUUCCUGAGGGAUUUUUUAAAAUUUUUGUCUCCUUUGGUAUGAUUAUAUAACUUUGACAUCAGGGUGUCGUCAGUCUCAUUGAAUGGAACAUGUUCAUUCAUCAGGUUCAGUUACUUAUGGAAGCUGAUAGCACUUCCUUGUGUAUCCAAGAUUCUUCCCAUGAAAAAGUUCACUGGAUGGCUAUUGGGCUUAUAUAAGAGAAACAGAUAUAAAGUGCAGACAGUGAGAAAGAAGAAUGGGCCUUUCUUGGAAAGAGCAAAGUUUUCAUUAUGUAUCGGUCAAUUUCAUAUAGAAGGCUGCGAUUGUGUAAGUGAGAAUGACUAUCAUGAACUAAAUGUUCACACUCACCGAUUUCCUUUUCCACACUCAUCACCCUAUUCUUAUGCACAGCACACAUACACCUAAUAUCCUGUCUGCAGCCAGGCUCAUCCUGUCCCCCGGUAUUCCUGUGGAAAUGAAGCUCACCACAUUGCUGCUGCAGCCACUCCUUGCAGAGAGGCCCUUGCACUUAUCUAUUCAGUGCAGACACAGCCAUAUCUCAGCAGUUUUUCCACGGGGUGCUCAUUUCCCAGGUGGCUGCUUGGAUGGCUUCUGUGUUGUGGCCUGAAAGUUACUGUUAGAAUUAACUCCAACAUGGGUUUGAUUUUGACCAAUAGGAGAGAAGUGCUGGGAGAAACAGUGCAGAUACAUCGCUUGUUCUUCUUGUGUGUCCCCCUUCUUAACACUUCCAAGACAGGUGCUGUGGACUCUGAAGACAUCUCCAGUAGGGAACUGAGCUGCACUGAUGACAGACUUUAGCCAGCUCCCCACCUCACCCUCAUGUAUUUUACUCUUUCUCUCUCUCUCUCUCCCUCUCUCUCUCUCUCUCUCUCUCCCUCACUUUCUUUCUUUGAGAUGAGGUCUUGCAAUGUAGUUCAGACUGGACAUGAACUUACUAUGUACCCCAGGCUGAUUGCCAACUCAUUACAAUCCUCCUGCCUCAGCUUCCUGAAUGCCAAGAUUACAAGCAUGAGCCACCACACGACUUUUUCCUUUGUCUUAUUUUUGCUGUUGUUGUACUCUUCUUUCAUCCUGAUCCUCUCUCAUUGCCCCUCACUGUUGCUUCUCCGGAAUGUAACCCCAAUUGCACAAGAAAGAAUAACGAGGAUUGACCAAAUUAAAAAAAACUUCUGCACAUGAUAGGAAUCAAUUAGUAAACUGAAGAAACAACCUACAGAAUGGGAAAAUACUUUUUCCAACUAUUCAUCAGACAGAGGACUAAUAUCUAGAAUGUAUAAAGAACUCAAAAGAAAAGAAAUUUAAAGACCCAGCCAAGAAAUGGGCAAGUGUAAUUUACAGAUACAUCUCAGAAGAAGCACAAAUGGUCAACAAAUGUAUGAAAAAAUGCUCAACAUCUCUGACCAUUAGAGAAAUACAAAUAAAACAACAGUAAGAUUCCACCUUCCACCAUAAAGAAUGCUAUUGUCAAGAAGUCAGAGAAUAACAAAUGCUGGCUUGGCUGUGGUAAACAAUAAUAAUAAUAAUAAUAAAUAAAAGAAAAAGAAAGGAACCCUCCUACAAUGUUGGUGGAAAUGCAAAUUAGUACUCCAGUAUGGAAAUCAGUAUGGAGAUUUCUCAAAGAACUAAAACUAAAAAUUCUGUAUGACCCAGCUAUUCCCCUUCUAGAUAUCUUCCUCAAAGAGCUAAAGACAUCAUAUUACAAGGAUACAUGCAUCCACACCCAUGUUUAUAGCAGCACAAUCCAUUAUACCUAAAAACUGGACACAGUCUGUGUGCUGAUCAACUGAUGAAUGGAUAAAGCAAACGUGGUAUCUACACAUAGUGGAAUACUACUUCAUUGUAAGGAAGGAUACAUUUAAGACAUUUUUAGAAAAAUGGAUGGACCUGGAUAAUAUAAUGUUUUGUGAAUAAAUCAGACACACAAGCUUCAAUACCAUAUGGUAUCUCUCAUCUGAGUAAAGCAAAGAACAAAUAAAGAGAGUAGAAAAGAACAGGUAGAAGGAAACAAGGGGCAAGACUUCUUGGAAAUAGGAAUGAGUCCAGGAGACCAAGGGCUAGGGGAGAGGAGGAAGAAAAGGGGAAAGUAAGUGGAAUUAAGAUACACCAUGUACAGGAACCUAAUAACCUCCAUGAGUACACGUACCCACUUCCAAGACAAAUGGAAUCAUCAUUCAUUGAAGCAGUACUUCAAACAUGUACUAAUGAAAGUAAAACAAAAACAAAAAAUAUGAAUACAAGUUUUUUCUAAGCUUCCCAUAGAACUGAGGUAGAAAGGCCAUUGACAAAAUGCAACAGUGAUGUCACAAAAUCAAACACCAGUCAGAAUUUAGC
ensembl:lncRNA